rnacentral:rRNA from 1 species
GGAAGGGGUGUAUUUAUUAGAUUAAAAACCAAUGCCCUUCGGGGCUCACUGGUGAUUCAUGAUAACUCCUCGAAUCGCAUGGCCUUGUGCCGGCGAUGGUUCAUUCAAAUUUCUUCCCUAUCAACUUUCGAUGUUUGGGUAUUGGCCAAACAUGGUUGCAACGGGUAACGGAGGGUUAGGGCUCGACCCCGGAGAAGGAGCCUGAGAAACGGCUACUACAUCCAAGGAAGGCAGCAGGCGCGCAAAUUACCCAAUCCCGACACGGGGAGGUAGUGACAAUAAAUACUGAUACAGGGCUCUUUUGGGUCUUGUAAUUGGAAUGAGUACAAUUUAAAUCCCUUAACGAGGAACAAUUGGAGGGCAAGUCUGGUGCCAGCAGCCGCGGUAAUUCCAGCUCCAAUAGCGUAUAUUAAAGUUGUUGUGGUUAAAAAGCUCGUAGUUGAACCUUGGGCCUGGCUGGCCGGUCCGCCUCACCGCGUGUACUGGUCCGGCCGGGCCUUUCCCUCUGUGGAACCCCAUGCCCUUCACUGGGUGUGGCGGGGAAACAGGACUUUUACUGUGAAAAAAUUAGAGUGCUCCAGGCAGGCCUAUGCUCGAAUACAUUAGCAUGGAAUAAUAGAAUAGGACGUGUGGUUCUAUUUUGUUGGUUUCUAGGACCGCCGUAAUGAUUAAUAGGGACAGUC